rnacentral:rRNA from 1 species
UACAGAGGGUGCAAGCGUUAAUCGGAAUUACUGGGCGUAAAGCGUGCGUAGACGGUUAUGUAAGUCGGGUGUGAAAGCCCCGGGCUCAACCUGGGAAUGCCAUUCGAGACUGCAUAGCUAGGGUGCGGAAGAGGGAAGCGGAAUUUCCGGUGUAGCGGUGGAAUGCGCAGAUAUCAGGAGGAACACCGGUGGCGAAGGCGGGAUCCUGGGCCAGUACUGACGCUGAGGAGCGAAAGCGUGGGGAGCAAACAGG